CUUCCGGAUCCUAGAGAGCGUUUAUUCCGUGACCAGGGGAAACGGUAGCCAUGGCAACUCGUUCUUCACCCUCUCCCAUUUACGGAUGGGAUCACGUUGGGAGUGAAUCCAGCACGACUUUCGCAGUCAGCUUUCUGUUUGACAGUGCUUCUCGGGAAGGAGAAACGCCUGAGAGGUUGAAAAUCCUCCGGAGCAGUUUCGGAUAGGGGUGGUGAGAAACUACAGUUCCCGGCAUGCAACGUGCUAGGAGGAACCACUGUAUUGAAUGCUGGGGAUCGUAGUCUUUGGCCUCCGGACCAGCUGCGCAGUUUGGCCCUUUCUUUUACAUUCUCGCAGCGUGUUUUAGAGGGAACUGUGUUCUGCGUGUGUUCGAAUUCACAUUGUGUUCUGAUUGCAGUAGAGAUCUGUGCCUAUUCCAGGACUCGCCAGUGUACAUAGCUUUUGGAAGCGGCCUAGAAAACCUCCAUGCCUUGGGCAAGGCCGCCCUGUGUUCUGGGAUCGGCCUGAGUCUGGGCUCCGCCUCCGGCUCGGGAACACGAAUCUGGCUUCACCAGCAAGCACCAUGAAGCUGCUGAGCUUGGCUUAGCUUACCAACUUUGUGCCUUCUAAGAACAUUGGUUCUGUGGGGCAUAAGAACCAGCAAAUACUUAAAGGGGAAAAGCAACAGAGAAGACUACAAGCACCGCUUUGAACGUUUCUAUCAUGAAGAGCUUACUGAGAAAGUGCAAGCAAGUGUUUGUUGUUUCCAAGGAGUCAAACAGGAACUUCGAAAUCUUGGAAAGAUUUGCCUUAAAGGAUGUGGAACUUGAUUUUAACAAUGCAGCGGCAGGUUCCAGUUUAGAUUCUGUUCUCAGGUAAGAAGUCAAGAAAUUCCAAGCCUUUUCAUGGGGCUCAACGCAAAAUAGCCUGACUUUGGUAAAUGUGAUCCCCUAAAUUUGGGAUGUCUUUCCUCACUUCCCCUGUUCUCUGCCCAUCCCUUCCUGUAAGAGAGACCCCCUAAAAGCCACCCCUGUGUUAGAAUUUCCUUAUCAUAUAUCACUGUCCACUUGCAAAGCUCUUCUGGUAUUUCACAUACUUUCUUCCAGUUUCCU